rnacentral:rRNA from 1 species
GACGAACGCUGGCGGCGUGCUUAACACAUGCAAGUCGAACGGAAAGGCCCCUUUGGGGGUACUCGAGUGGCGAACGGGUGAGUAACACGUGAGUAACCUGCCCUUGACUUCGGGAUAACUUCAGGAAACUGGGGCUAAUACCGGAUAGGAAUCCUUUCUUCAUGGUGGGGGUUGGAAAGCUUCGGCGGUUUUGGAUGGACUCGCGGCUUAUCAGCUUGUUGGUGGGGUAGUGGCUUACCAAGGCUUUGACGGGUAGCCGGCCUGGGAGGGCGACCGGCCACAUUGGGACUGAGAUGCGGCCCAGACUCCUACGGGAGGCAGCAGUGGGGAAUAUUGCACAAUGGGCGGAAGCCUGAUGCAGCAACGCCGCGUGCGGGAUGACGGCCUUCGGGUUGUAAACCGCUUUCAGCAGGGGCGAAGCUUGUGGUGACGGUACCUGCAGAAGAAGCACCGGCUAACUACGUG